ACCUAGACAGGUGGGCUUUGAUCCCACAAAACUCUAGUUAACAGCUAAAUGCCCAAACCAACAGGCUUCCGUCUA
rnacentral:tRNA from 1 species